UCUAGGGGGCUUUUCCCCAAGGAGGGAGAAGGGCAGCCUGUCUGUGAUGGGCUGCCCUUCUUCCUCCUUGGGGAAAAGCCUGCAAGCG